CACGCCCCCUCUAGGGAUGGGAAGUGGCGGGCAGAGUACCUCCCCCGCGCAUGUCAGAGUUGCAAACACUUUCAAUUUCAACUGUGUGGUGAUCAGGACAUUCUGUGUUGCUUGGACAACCGAGCUAAGACGGCGAUGCCACCACCUACUUGUAUCUGUACAGGACCUCCGGUGAUUAUUUCUUUUCCAAAAAUGAAGAAGCUUGUCGUUCAACCGAUGACAAAACACCUAGAGUACGUGCAAAAAUUACUACUUCCUCAUUUAUAGCA